AGUGUGCGGGUCUCGGCGAAGAAGCCCCCGAGCGGCAGCCCCAGUCGUUUCGUGUGUUCCUUGUUGGCAGCCCCCGCCGGCUGCCACAUCCAUAGUCUGAGCCUUUCAUCCUGUAAACGGGAUGGAGGAGAGACCCCCAGCCGCUCCAGCAUGGCCGGGGAGGAGAGUGGGGCUCCCCAGGACAGAAGAUCUCCAGCGGAGCCCUACCAAGUGACCGAGGUCAUCCCUCUGCAUGCUGAUGCUGAAUUGCUGCCUCUAUCUGAUGUGGAACAGGAGGCAGUGGAUUUCAUCCAAGCCAACAGCAUCAGCAAGGAAAUGGAUCUGGUGCAGAAGCUGCGGUUCCUCAACAGCAUUUGCAUACUGUGCAGCACCGCUGGACAGGAGGGCCUCACACUGAGCCAUGAUAUCUUCUGCUUGCUGAAAAAUCAGUGCAAGAAGAUUGAGGUUCUGUUGUGUGAGGAGCCCAUGGAGCAGCUGAGCACCGGCCUGAGAUACUGCUGCAUGAACACCAUUGCUGCCUUGAGCACUGUGAAUGCAGUUACGGAGGAAGAAAUACUCCAUCUCUUCAAGGUGUGCUGCAGCAUCGUCUUCUAUCUUCCUCCAGCCAGGGCCUUGAACAUUUCCCUCUACAACCAGGUAUGUACUGGGCAAUCUACUGUUGACCCCAUGCCUCUGGGCUGCCGCUUGCAUUACUUGUGUCCAGAGAUCUAUCAAGAUGUUUGUGGGAUGAAUUGGCAGCCUUGCUUGCCCUCACCCCUCUCACUCUUGCCUUGGGCUUGGCAAACAGCCUGUGUUGUAGCCUGCUCUGAGUGCAGCAGCCUUGCAGGGUGCCCCUGUGCACAGAUCUGUGGGUAUCCUUCCUUGG
rnacentral:lncRNA from 1 species